GCGUCUGUAGUCCAACGGUUAGAAUAAUUGCCUUCCAAGCAAUAGAUCCGUGUUCGCAAACGCA
rfam:Brassica oleracea var. oleracea cultivar TO1000 chromosome C2, whole genome shotgun sequence